AACGAACGCUGGCGGCAUGCCUAACACAUGCAAGUCGAACGGGUGGUAGCAAUACCACCAGUGGCAGACGGGUGCGUAACACGUGGGAACCUGCCCAGAGGUUCGGAAUAGCUGCGGGAAACUGCAGGUAAUACCGAAUGUUGCCUGAGGGCUAAAGGAGCAAUUCGCCUUUGGAGGGCCGCGUCGGAGUUAGCUAGUUGGUGGGUAACGGCGUCACCAAGGCGACGAUCCGUAGCUGGUCUGAGAGGAUGGCCAGCCACACCUGGAACUGAGACACGGUCCAGACUCC
rnacentral:rRNA from 1 species